AAAGUUGUUGCAACAAUAUCAGUCUGCAACAAUAUACUCUCGUUUAGCUACUCUCUCUCUCGAUGUCAACUUACCUUGGACUUGUGGCUAUUCUUUUUUGCACCGUUAUCGUAGGAAUCGAAAGUGCAUCUCUCAAUCGAAAUCGGCACAAUCCAGCUCAACAACAGAAAAAAUAUGGAGUACGAACUUAUGGUGCCUCAGGAAGUUCCCAAAGUUUUGGGCCACCUACUAGUCCGGAUUUUCCACCGCUGAGUUAUGACAAUGUCUAUUCUUCAGGUCAAUUCGGACAAUUUUCCACUGGGGGAUCUUUUCCCUUAGGACCGCCACCAUCAUCUGGUGGAUGUUCACUCGGCUGUGGAUCGUUUAAUGUGCUGGCUGGGAAAAGCAAAGACAGGUUUUCAAACAAUUAA
ensembl:ncRNA lncRNA:CR42791 long non-coding RNA:CR42791